GCCGGUGUAGCUCAGUUGGUAGAGCAGCUGAUUUGUAAUCAGCGGGUCGUGGGUUCAAAUCCUAUCGCCGGCUCCA
rnacentral:tRNA from 1 species